AGGAGCUGUGGUUUGUCAAAGAUCAGCUGUGAUUAUCUGGCAGCAGCGCUGAAGUCCAACCCCUCCCAUCUGAGAGAGCUGGACCUGAGCUGGAACAACCUGCAGGAUUCAGGAGUUAAGCAGCUGUGUGUUCUUCUGGAGAGUCAGAGAAACUCUGAGACUGAGUCACUGUGACCUGUCAGAGAGAAGCUGUGAAGCUCUGUCCUCAGGUCUCAGCUCUCAGACCUCUAACCUGAGACAGCUGGACCUGAGUAACAUCAACCUGAAGGAUUCAGGCGUGAAGCUUCUGUCUGAAGGACUGAAGAGUCCACACUGGAAACUGGAAACUCUCAGUCUGUCAGGCUGUCUGAUCACAGAGGAAGG